GGCGGCGUGCUUAACACAUGCAAGUCGAACGAUGACCCGGAGCUUGCUCUGGUGAUUAGUGGCGAACGGGUGAGUAACACGUGGGCAACCUGCCCCUAGCUCUGGGAUAACUGCGGGAAACUGUAGCUAAUACCGGAUGUGACACGAGACUGCAUGGUCUUUGUGUGGAAAGAUUUUUCGGCUAGGGAUGGGCCCGCGGUCUAUCAGCUUGUUGGUGGGGUAAUGGCUCACCAAGGCGACGACGGAUAACCGGCCUGAGAGGGCGACCGGUCACACUGGGACUGAGACACGGCCCAGACUCCUACGGGAGGCAGCAGUGGGGAAUAUUGCACAAUGGGCGCAAGCCUGAUGCAGCGACGCCGCGUGAGGGAUGACGGCCUUCGGGUUGUAAACCUCUUUCAGUUCCGACGAAGCGAAAGUGACGGUAGGAGCAGAAGAAGCGCCGGCCAACUACGUGCCAGCAGCCGCGGUAAUACGUAGGGCGCAAGCGUUGUCCGGAAUUAUUGGGCGUAAAGAGCUCGUAGGCGGUUUGUUACGUCGGCUGUGAAAUCCCGAGGCUUAACCUCGGGCUUGCAGUCGAUACGGGCAGACUAGAGUGGAGCAGGGGAGACUGGAAUUCCUGGUGUAGCGGUGAAAUGCGCAGAUAUCAGGAGGAACACCGAUGGCGAAGGCAGGUCUCUGGGCUUUAACUGACGCUGAGGAGCGAAAGCGUGGGUAGCGAACAGGAUUAGAUACCCUGGUAGUCCACGCCGUAAACGGUGGGCGCUAGGUGUGGGGACCAUUCCACGGUUUCCGUGCCGCAGCUAACGCAUUAAGCGCCCCGCCUGGGGAGUACGGCCGCAAGGCUAAAACUCAAAGGAAUUGACGGGGGCCCGCACAAGCGGCGGAGUAUGUUGCUUAAUUCGAUGCAACGCGAAGAACCUUACCAAGGCUUGACAUAUACCGAAAACUCGUAGAGAUACGGGGUCCGUAAGGGCGGUAUACAGGUGGUGCAUGGUUGUCGUCAGCUCGUGUCGUGAGAUGUUGGGUUAAGUCCCGCAACGAGCGCAACCCUCGUUCUAUGUUGCCAGCACGUUAUGGUGGGGACUCAUAGGAGACCGCCGGGGUCAACUCGGAGGAAGGUGGGGAUGACGUCAAAUCAUCAUGCCCCUUAUGUCUUGGGCUGCAAACAUACUACAAUGGCCGGUACAAAGGGCUGCGAUACCGCAAGGUGGAGCGAAUCCCAAAAAGCCGGUCUCAGUUCGGAUUGGGGUCUGCAACUCGACCCCAUGAAGUCGGAGUCGCUAGUAAUCGCAGAUCAGCAACGCUGCGGUGAAUACGUUCCCGGGCCUUGUACACACCGCCCGUCAAGUCACGAAAGUCGGUAACACCCGAAGCCGGUGGCCUAACCCCCUUGUGGGGAGGGAGCUGUCGAA
rnacentral:rRNA from 1 species